AGUGAACGCUGGCGGUAGGCCUAACACAUGCAAGUCGAACGGCAGCACAGUAAGAGCUUGCCCUUACGGGUGGCGAGUGGCGGACGGGUGAGGAAUACAUCGGAAUCUACUUUUUCGUGGGGGAUAACGUAGGGAAACUUACGCUAAUACCGCAUACGACCUACGGGUGAAAGCAGGGGAUCUUCGGACCUUGCGCGAUUGAAUGAGCCGAUGUCGGAUUAGCUAGUUGGCGGGGUAAAGGCCCACCAAGGCGACGAUCCGUAGCUGGUCUGAGAGGAUGAUCAGCCACACUGGAACUGAGACACGGCACAGACUCCUACGGGAGGCAGCAGUGGGGAAUAUUGGACGAUGGGGGAAAGCCUGAUCCAGCCAUACCGGGUGGGUGAAGAAGGCCUUCGGGUUGUAAAGCCCUUUUGUUGGGAAAGAAAAGCAGCAGGUUAAUACCCCGCUGUUCUGACGGUACCCAAAGAAUAAGCACCGGCUAACUUCGUG
rnacentral:rRNA from 1 species